rnacentral:miRNA from 1 species
AGCUUCCAUGACUCCUGAUGGA